GUUUUGUGGUUGUCAUUCCCUGCACAAUGAGUUCCAGCUUAUUUGUUUCAUUGUGGAGACAUUUUGUUAAUAACCCUCCCUGCUCUUGUAUUGUCACCCAAACAAAAAUGUCUAUUUGAAUCUUACUUUUUAAAAUACUGUGAAAACAUGCAGUUUAAAUUGCAUAUUUUCCCUGAGUAAACACCUAAAAGCAUAGCUAGAGCUUUUGCCGCCCCUGAGUUUGCCGCCCCUAUCUAGAACAACGUCAUGUCCAGUGCAGUGGCGGACGUCCGUGUCUGCACCAGACAUACUUCUUUUAAG